GAGCUUCCCCCUAAUGAAAGACUAGUGGGAGUAGAAAAGCCCAAACCAGGGUUCCCCUCAGAAUUUAACCUGUAAUAAGAGAAAGAUCCCUGUCUAUCACAGGGGUAUCCCAAUAGUCUGACCCUACUCUACUUCCGAGUUAGAAGGGCCUUGGUUGGAACGCGGUGCUCGGGCGCUCGAUAACCCCCGAACAUCUACGGGGGAGGAGUCCCUCGAGAGGCUUUUCGCGAUAUUGGACGCACUCUGGGAGGGCGGACGACAGUCAGAGGCGUCCGCGAAGCUGAUCGCAAAAUUGUAGAAUUCCGACGAAUAGGCCACAACAAGUGAGAUACCCAAGAUAAAAGGAACGAGGGGCAGAAUCGACGAGGAAUCAAUCACAUAAAAUCGUGAAUGAAAAAGCGUGACGAGAAUUCUUAACUCGAGAUGGUAGAGGGUGCAAAAUCAAUAGGUGCCGGAGCUGCUACAAUUGCUUCAGCGGGAGCUGCUAUCGGUAUUGGAAACGUGUUCAGUUCUUUGAUCCAUUUCGUGGCCAGA
rnacentral:lncRNA from 1 species